rnacentral:rRNA from 1 species
AGAGUUUGAUCAUGGCUCAGGAUGAACGCUAGCUACAGGCUUAACACAUGCAAGUCGAGGGGCAGCACGAAGAUAGCUUGCUAUCUUGGGUGGCGACCGGCGCACGGGUGAGUAACGCGUAUCCAACCUGCCCAUUACUCUGGGAUAGCCUUGCGAAAGUAAGAUUAAUACCGGAUGUUGUUAAAAACCCGCAUGAGUUUUUAACCAAAGAUUUAUUGGUAAUGGAUGGGGAUGCGUGACAUUAGGUAGUUGGUGAGGUAACGGCUCACCAAGCCCACGAUGUCUAGUGGUUCUGAGAGGAAGGUCCCCCACACUGGAACUGAGACACGGUCCAGACUCCUACGGGAGGCAGCAGUGAGGAAUAUUGGUCAAUGGACGAGAGUCUGAACCAGCCAAGUAGCGUGCAGGAUGACGGCCCUCUGGGUUGUAAACUGCUUUUAGUUGGGAAUAAAAAGAGGGACGUGUCCCUAAUUGUAUGUACCAUCAGAAAAAGGACCGGCUAAUUCCGUGCCAGCAGCCGCGGUAAUACGGAAGGUCCAGGCGUUAUCCGGAUUUAUUGGGUUUAAAGGGAGCGUAGCGGGACGUGUAAGUCAGCU